CCAAAGGCUUUCUUGAAAGCCACAUAAAAUAGCAUAUGAGGUCGUCU
rfam:Dipodomys ordii contig_5262, whole genome shotgun sequence.